GGGCCCGCACAAGCGGUGGAUUAUGUGGUUUAAUUCGAUGAUACGCGAGGAACCUUACCAAGGCUUAAAUGGGAAUUGAUCGGUUUAGAAAUAGACCUUCCUUCGGGCAAUUUUCAAGGUGCUGCAUGGUUGUCGUCAGCUCGUGCCGUGAGGUGUUAGGUUAAGUCCUGCAACGAGCGCAACCCCUGUCACUAGUUGCUACCAUUAAGUUGAGGACUCUAGUGAGACUGCCUACGCAAGUAGAGAGGAAGGUGGGGAUGACGUCAAAUCAUCACGGCCCUUACGCCUUGGGCCACACACGUAAUACAAUGGCCGGUACAGAGGGCAGCUACACAGCGAUGUGAUGCAAAUCUCGAAAGCCGGUCUCAGUUCGGAUUGGAGUCUGCAACUCGACUCUAUGAAGCUGGAAUCGCUAGUAAUCGCGCAUCAGCCAUGGCGCGGUGAAUACGUUCCCGGGCCUU
rnacentral:rRNA from 1 species